UACAGAGGUCUCAACCGUUGUUCGGAUUCAUUGGGCGUAAAGGGUGCGUAGGCGGCCUGUUAAGUCAGGGGUGAAAGACGGUAGCUCAACUAUCGCAGUGCCCUUGAUACUGAUGGGCUUGAAUUGACUAGAGGUAGGCGGAAUGUGACAAGUAGCGGUGAAAUGCAUAGAUAUGUCACAGAACACCGAUUGCGAAGGCAGCUUACUAUGGUAUUAUUGACGCUGAGGCACGAAAGCGUGGGGAUCAAACAGG
rnacentral:rRNA from 1 species